GGCCUGGAGAUGGGUAACGUGUUUCUAUAAGAAUCUCCAAUAUUUGCUUCUAGUGCUGGUAUUAAAAAAACCCAAACACACUAUGUUGGCUGAGUUGGAAGCUGAACUCAACUUGAGCCUGGAGAGUUCCGAAAGUGUGGAAGGAACGAAUUAGACUCAUCCUUCAAAGACUGUAGACAUGGAUCCUGUGGAGAGGCCUGUCCAUCCGCUUCCCCAGGAACUAUUUAUUCAGAGUCCCCCUGACUUUCAAAAUAUACCAGAAACGAAAGAGUUGAAGACAAGAAGAGAAGGAGGACAUAAAAGCAGUUGAAGAUGGAAAGUGCUUCUCAACUAUGUUGUAUUUGUUGAAUGGAUGGACAAAUGUUCCUCACAUAGUGAGCACUUGGCAAAUGUUCUCCAACUGGCGUGUUCUGAGAGCCUUCAAUAAAUACUCAAUACCGUUGAUUAUAUCUUAAAAA
rnacentral:lncRNA from 1 species